rnacentral:rRNA from 1 species
UACGUAGGGUGCGAGCGUUGUCCGGAAUUAUUGGGCGUAAAGAGCUUGUAGGCGGUUUGUCGCGUCUGCCGUGAAAUUUCGAGGCUCAACCUCGAACUUGCGGUGGGUACGGGCAGACUAGAGUGUGGUAGGGGAGACUGGAAUUCCUGGUGUAGCGGUGAAAUGCGCAGAUAUCAGGAGGAACACCGAUGGCGAAGGCAGGUCUCUGGGCCACUACUGACGCUGAGAAGCGAAAGUAUGGGGAGCGAACAGG